rnacentral:rRNA from 1 species
GGGAAUAUUGCACAAUGGGGGAAACCCUGAUGCAGCGACGCCGCGUGAGCGAUGAAGUAUUUCGGUAUGUAAAGCUCUAUCAGCAGGGAAGAAAAUGACGGUACCUGACUAAGAAGCCCCGGCUAACUACGUGCCAGCAGCCGCGGUAAUACGUAGGGGGCAAGCGUUAUCCGGAUUCACUGGGUGUAAAGGGAGCGUAGACGGCGACGCAAGUCUGGAGUGAAAGCCCGGGGCCCAACCCCGGGACUGCUCUGGAAACUGCGUCGCUGGAGUACGGGAGGGGCAGGCGGAAUUCCUGGUGUAGCGGUGAAAUGCGUAGAUAUCAGGAGGAACACCGGCGGCGAAGGCGGCCUGCUGGACCGUGACUGACGUUGAGGCUCGAGAGCGUGGGGAGCAAACAGG